rnacentral:rRNA from 1 species
AGGACGAACGCUGGCGGCGUGUUUAACACAUGCAAGUCGAGCGGAAAGGCCCUUCGGGGUACUCGAGCGGCGAACGGGUGAGUAACACGUGAGCAACCUGCCCUUAGCUUCGGGAUAGCUCCGGGAAACCGGAAUUAAUACCGAAUAUGACUUUGGCUGACAUCAGCAGAAGUGGAAAGUUUUUCGGCUAGGGAUGGACUCGCGGCCUAUCAGCUAGUUGGUGAGGUAACGGCCCACCAAGGCGACGACGGGUA